rnacentral:rRNA from 2 species
GUGACCCCAGGAUGGGCGAGG